rnacentral:rRNA from 1 species
UACGUAGGGGGCUAGCGUUGUUCGGAAUCACUGGGCGUAAAGGGCGCGUAGGCGGCUUUAUAAGUCGGGGGUGAAAGCCUGUGGCUCAACCACAGAAUUGCCUUCGAUACUGUAGAGCUUGAGACCGGAAGAGGUAAGUGGAACUGCGAGUGUAGAGGUGAAAUUCGUAGAUAUUCGCAAGAACACCAGUGGCGAAGGCGGCUCACUGGCCCGGUACUGACGCUGAGGUGCGAAAGCGUGGGGAGCAAACAGG